AAAAAAAAAAAAAAAAACUGCAAUUCCAAAAACUCAAGCAAUUGACUUUCAGGUAGAUGCAUAGAGCAAUCUUAGAAAUGGAAGGUUUUUAUCUAAUUACAAGAUAUAUCUCAAUUACAACACAGGCAAAUCUCAAGGAAGGUACAAAUAGAUGGUUAGCUUUCUAGUGUAAGGUUUCAUAGAAACUGGUUUGCCUUUCCUCUUCUGAUAUCUUUCUGGCUCAAGCAAAAUCUUAAAACAACCAAAAGUUCUACCACAAGCUUGAAAUAUAAUCUCUUCACAUAACCAAUAAGCAAAGGUGGACAUGCCAACCUUUUGUUUUGUUUCAUAGUUUGAGUCAAUCAAGGAGACUGAGUUGAUUGUCCAUCAUCUACAUCGCUGCUUUCCAGUAUUCAAGGGAGAAUUUCUGAUGCUUUUAGAUGAGGCAUUUGUGUGCUGUUGAGUUCCUUCGGAUUUCUUCUUGCGCCUUGCUUGUUGAGACAAACGAGAAUGGUAAGAUAAGAUGGCAAGAUCAUUUAGAUCUUGCAAUGGAGUAAGAACCUUCACAACUUCAUCCAUUGUAGGGCGGGACUUAGGGUCCCUACUCAGGCAGUUGUAAGCUAAUUGAGAAACUUUCUGGACCCCUUUAAGGGAGAAAUUCAGCUCCAAUCGGGGAUCCACGAGCUGGUACAGCUUUCGCUUGUCAGCUAAAUAAGGCCGAGCCCAUGCAACAAGAUUCUGUUCACCAGUAGGGCGCUUCUUGUCCAUUGAUCUUCUGCCCGUCAAAAUCUCAAGCAACACGACUCCGAAGCUGUAAACAUCACUCUUAGAUGUCAAGUGUCCUGUCAUCACAUAUUCUGGAGCAGCAUAGCCGUAUGUUCCAACCACCCUGGUAGAAACAUGAGUUUUGUCACCUUGAGGCCCAGCUUUUGCUAGACCAAAGUCUGAAAGCUUUGCAUUAUAUUCCGAAUCAAGUAAGAUGUUUGAUGUCUUAAAAUCCCUGUAAAUUACUGGUUUUGGACCACCAUGAAGAAACGCCAAUCCUUUUGCUGCUCCAAGUGCAAUCUUAAUCCUGCUGCACCAUGGAAGAGGUAUUGUCCCUUCAAAAGUUAAGACAACAUCAGUAUUUCGUCAAUACAUUAUACAUCUUAAAAUUGUACAAACAGGAAAAUUAAAAAUCUGAUGAAAGGAAAGUUAAUGGAAGUGUUCCAAAGGGUUGAUUAUUCAGCUUGAAGAAAAAAUAUAAAAAAAUGUAAAAAGGAAAAAGGGACAGCUUUUUCCACAUUUUGAACUUCAUCCAUUCUGAUUAGGUAUGUCAAAAAAUCUCCUCAAUAAAAAAUUACAGUCCACCUGAGCAAAAAUUUGCAGAAAUAGCAUUCCUUCAUCAAUAAAGUACAUAAAUGAUGUAUAAUCUUGGAACAAACCAAUAGGGUGCUUAGUCUAAAUUUAUGGAAAUGGAAAUUUUUGUGGGAUAAGCAACAAGAUCUGUUCACACCGUGGCAUUGUUUGGCCAGAAUAAUUGGGAAAGAAAGUGGAAAAAAGAGGGAAAAGUGAACUUCAGAGAAAGAUCAAAUGGUAAAAAAAUGAGAAUGUCUACUGACUACUACUGACCAUAUUGAUGAAGGAUCCUGAAAUAGAGAACACAUUUUAAGUGAUAUAGACUAGUAAAAAUAACACAGCAAAGGCAACUGAAUCUCUACAACUCACUUCUAAAAAGAUGAUUUUCGAGACUUCCCCGUGUCAUAAAUUCAUAAACAAGCAGCCGCUGAUCAUCCUCAAUGCAGUAUCCAAUAAGCUUAACAAGAUUAGGAUGGUGAAGCUGUCCAAGAAAAUCUACUUCAGCCACCCAUUCUCUAUGGCCUUGAAGACCAUCUGGCUUUAAACUCUUCACCGCAACAGUGAUUCCUGACCCUGGUUUUGCUGGUGCGGUCCCAUUCUCCUCUAUCCAUCCUUUGAAGACAUAUCCAAAUCCACCCUCUCCAAGAAUGCUAUCAGGCCUAAAAUUACCGGUUGCUGAUUUUAGUUCUUGAAAGGUGAAUUGGAGUAACUGGCAUGGAGAUUUGUUAUCAGUUGGUGGUGUAUCAGGAUUAUCAGAAGAUAAUUGUGCUUCAUUUGGAGGGCAUAACUCUCGAUUGCUAGCAUUUAGGUAUCGUGUCUCAGUAGCUGCAUCAUAAACCAGACUAGUGCGAGGGAUAGUCUUAGCAGAGUCUCUAGAGGCAGAGGGUUUACAGGAACCUAUAACACUCCGUUUUAGAAGAGCCCAACACCCACACUUGUUCUCCAUAGGAACUUUCUUUUUGGGUUGUGGCUCUAUCCGUCUAACAUGGGUUGUCACUAUAAUUGCACGGGAUGUGAUAGGGCGGUGAGCAGAGAUUGGUCAUGGUUAUGAGUAAAGAAGGAAAAAAAGAAAAGAAAAAAAUAGGCAUAACAAGACAAACCUACAGCUACAAAAGCUAAACCAAUUUGGCAUAAUCCCAGAGCAAAAGUCAAGAACCAGUGCUGGACUGCUGGCCACUGACCACCUAAGCCUUUUCUUUGCAAAAGCGCCUUUGUAAUCCAUG
rnacentral:misc_RNA from 1 species